GACGAACCGUGCGAACGUUAUUCGGAAUCACUGGGCUUAAAGCGCGUGUAGGCGGGACGGCACGUCGGUCGCUGAAAUCCCCCGGCUUAACCGGGGAACUGGCGUCGAUACGACCGCCCUGGAGGGGCGUAGGGGGACCUGGAACUUCCGGUGGAGCGGUGAAAUGCGUAGAUAUCGGAAGGAACACCAGUGGCGAAAGCGGCUUCCUGGUCCGACACCGACGUUCAGGCACGAAAGCGUGGGGAGCGAACAGG
rnacentral:rRNA from 1 species